rnacentral:rRNA from 1 species
UGGGGAAUUUUGGACAAUGGGCGAAAGCCUGAUCCAGCAAUGCCGCGUGUGUGAAGAAGGCCUUCGGGUUGUAAAGCACUUUUGUCCGGAAAGAAAUCCUUGGCUCUAAUACAGUCGGGGGAUGACGGUACCGGAAGAAUAAGCACCGGCUAACUACGUGCCAGCAGCCGCGGUAAUACGUAGGGUGCAAGCGUUAAUCGGAAUUACUGGGCGUAAAGCGUGCGCAGGCGGUUUGUAAGACGAUGUGAAAUCCCCGGGCUAACCUGGGAACUGCAUUGCGAACUGCAGGCUAGAGUAUGGCAGAGGGGGGUAGAAUUCCACGUGUAGCAGUGAAAUGCGUAGAGAUGUGGAGGAAUACCGAUGGCGAAGGCAGCCCCCUGGGCCAAUACUGACGCUCAUGCACGAAAGCGUGGGGAGCAAACAGGAUUAGAUACCCUGGUAGUCCACGCCCUAAACGAUGUCAACUAGUUGUUGGGGAUUCAUUUCCUUAGUAACGUAGCUAACGCGUGAAGUUGACCGCCUGGGGGAGUACGGUCGCAAGAUUAAAACUUCAAAUGGAAUUGACGGGGUCAUAGCUGUUUCCU